UGUGCCGUAGCGCAGAGGUCGUCGCGUCGCCUUCUCAGGGCGGAGGACGCCGGUUCGAUUCCGGCCGGCACACC
rnacentral:tRNA from 1 species